GUGGUAUUUUGUUAAGUGUUUAACUAAAUCUUUUCCUUUACAACAGCAUUUCAUUUUGCAGUUACUACAGCAUCUUCACAUCUCACAUUUACAUACGUCACAUUUAUUCACAUCACAUGCAGAAGAUGUUGGGAGGUUUUCAUCCAUGCUAGAUGAAAAGGCUCAAAAUAUGAUUGCGAAGGCAUCCCUUUUCUUUAAUUAGGUCUUUUAUUUUUUUUGUCAGAGCAUAGUGACAAACUCCUUGCAUAAGGAUAAGUAUAGGUAUAACCAUCAGAUCCAUUCCUAGCGCACCGGCCAAGUUCUUACCAAAAUGUCAUAG
rnacentral:lncRNA from 1 species